rnacentral:rRNA from 1 species
UGAAUACGAGACGCUAAGGCGUCGAAGUAGUGUAUGUCAUACUUCCAAGAAAAGCUUGCACUGUCAUAGAUAAAAAACGCCUGUACCAUAACCGACACAGGUGGGUAGGUAGAGUAUACUAAGGGGCGCGAGAUAACUCUCUCUAAGGAACUCGGCAAAAUAACUCCGUAACUUCGGGAGAAGGAGUGCCUUAUUCGUAAGGUUGCAAUAACAAGAUCCAAGCAACUGUUUAUCAAAAACACAGGUCUCCGCUAAGUCGUAAGACGAUGUAUGGGGGCUGACGCCUGCCCAGUGCCAGAAGGUUAAAGAAGUUGGUUAGCAAUUGCGAAGCUGAUAACUGAAGCCCUGGUGAACGGCGGCCGUAACUAUAACGGUCCUAAGGUAGCGAAAUUCCUUGUCGGGUAAGUUCCGACCCGCACGAAAGGCGUAAUGAUUUGGAUACUGUCUCGGAGAGGGGCUCGGUGAAAUAGACUUGUCUGUGAAGAUGCGGACUACCUGCACCAGGACAGAAAGACCCUAUGAAGCUUUACUGUAACUUGAAAUUGAAAUUGGACUUUAUUCGCGCAGUAUAGGUGGGAGGCGUUGAUUAUAAUCUUGUGGGAUUAUUGGAGCCAUCAGUGAGAUACCACUCUUGUAAUGUUAGAUUUCUAACUUUGAAUCAUUAUCUGGUCAAAGAACAGUUUCAGGCGGGCAGUUUGACUGGGGCGGUCGCCUCCUAAACGGUAACGGAGGCGUACAAAGGUUUCCUCUGAACGGUUAGAAAUCGUAUCUAGAGUGUAAAGGCAUAAGGAAGCUUGACUGUGAGACCUACAAGUCGAGCAGGGACGAAAGUCGGUCUUAGUGAUCUGACGGUACUGAGUGGAAAGGCCGUCACUCAACGGAUAAAAGUUACUCUAGGAUAACAGGCUGAUCUCCCCCAAGAGUUCACAUCGACGGGGAGGUUUGGCACCUCGAUGUCGGCUCAUCGCAUCCUGGGGCGGUAGUACGUCCCAAGGGUUGGGCUGUUCGCCCAUGAAAGCGGUACGCGAGCUGGGUUCAGAACGUCGUGAGACAGUUCGGUCCAUAUCCGGUGUAGGCGUUAGAAUAUUGAGAGGAGCCUUCUUUAGUACGAGAGGACCGAGAAGGACAUACCUCUGGUGUACCAGUUAUCGCGCCAACGGUAAACGCUGGGUAGCUAUGUAUGGAGUGGAUAACCGCUGAAAGCAUCUAAGUGGGAAGCCCACCUCAAGAUAAGUAUUCUC